rnacentral:rRNA from 1 species
GUCGGAUGUGCCGCAAGGUGCAUGGCAGACGGGUGAGUAACGCGUAGGGAAUCUACCUCUUUGUGGGGAAUAACGCUCCGAAAGGAGUGGUAAUACCGCAUGAGACCGUGGACUGGGAUGUUUACGGUGAAACCUGGGGACCGCAAGGCCUGGGGCAAGGAGAGGAUCCUGCGUCUGAUUAGCUAGUUGGCGGGGUAAUGGCCCACCAAGGCGACGAUCAGUAGCCGGCCUGAGAGGGUGAUCGGCCACACUGGAACUGAGACACGGUCCAGACUCCUACGGGAGGCAGCAGUGGGGAAUUUUGCGCAAUGGACGAAAGUCUGACGCAGCAACGCCGCGUGGGUGAUGAAGGUCUUCGGACUGUAAAACCCUGUCGUCAGGGACGAAGGUUGGGGGGUUAAUAACCCUUCAGCUUGACGGUACCUGGAGAGGAAGCCCCGGCUAACUCUGUGCCAGCAGCCGCGGUAAUACAGAGGGGGCAAGCGUUAUUCGGAAUUAUUGGGCGUAAAGGGCGCGUAGGCGGUUUUUUAAGUCAGAUGUGUAAUCCCCGAGCUCAACUUGGGAACUGCAUCUGAGACUGGAAGGCUAGAGUACUGGAGAGGGUGGUGGAAUUCCUCGUGUAGCGGUGAAAUGCGUAGAGAUGAGGAGGAACACCAGUGGCGAAGGCGGCCACCUG